GACGUAGGGCGCGAGCGUUGUCCGGAUUAUUGGGCGUAAGAGCUCGAUAGGUGGCCUGUCGCGUCGGGCUGUGAAACUCGGGCUCAACUCCGAGCUUGCAUCGAUAGCGGGCAGGCUAGAGUCGGCAGGGGAGACUGGAAUUCCUGGUGUAGCGGUGAAAUGCGCAGAUAUCAGGAGGAACACCGGUGGCGAAGGCGGGUCUCUGGGACCGAUACUGACACUGAGGAGCGAAAGUGUGGGGAGGCGAACAGG
rnacentral:rRNA from 1 species